rnacentral:lncRNA from 1 species
CAUAUAAUAAUAAAUAAAUUUAAAAAAAAAAAAAAAAAAGAAAGUUUGGGAGAUUUAUGUGCAGGGCCUUGAAUGAGACCCACCACUUAUGUUCUCUACCCAAGUAACUAGACAUUAGGUUCAGUACACUGUGAGCAUACAGAGCAAGGCUCAGAAGUUAUAUUCCCACCGAGCAGUCUGCUUUGCCACAACAGUGAACCGCCUGAAGGAAAGCACACAUUGUUGGAAACAGACAGUUGUCACUGUCAUAUGCUUAGGAAAGUUUUUCUUAUUGCAUGCUUUCACCAGUCUUGUCCUCUGUUACUGGAGUCACCAAGGUGAUGAUUUGAUGUCAGCGUGGCCUUUGCUGUGAUGAAUAGCAGCAGCACACUCCGUGUCAUGUCUUGCAUAUGUUUGCUCCUGAACCAAUUUCAGCUACUUGAGUCUGAGUUUUCUCAGCUUUAGCCUGUGCUAAUUUGGUGACUGCUCUAUGUAACUAUGAUUCAAGCCCAGCCUAGUGACUGGUAUUCCGAAGACUUCAUCUUCUAUUCCCUAGUGCUUUGUUUGCCUAGCUAUCUGAUGCUGUGGAUCCUGUGUUAUUUGUUGAAACUUCUUAACAAACAUCUGCCUCGUAAGAAAAAAGGAAAGUAAAUAAAUACACUACUUUUUUUUUAGAGGUUUUUUUGUUUGUUUGUUUUAAUUGUUUAUUGCUGAAUGGUCUUUUGGGACCUUGGAAAGAAUUCUCUCUCUCUCUUUUUUUAAUGACUAUUUCCUAGAUCUAUUUCAUCCCUUUCUUCUAACAUAUCUUCUGAAGGCAAAGAGAUCUCUUGUAUGUACCUAGAGAUUCUGCUUUGAGUAUAACCAAAAGCCAAAAGGGGGCUUUGACAGAAUGCCGGUCAGUUAGGUAAGUGCAUCGUGAGGAAAGGAUGGACCAGUUUCAGCUGUAAAUGGCCACAACUAACAUAUAAUUAACAUCUAGUACUUGCUAGCUGUGAUGCUUAAUGUUAUCUAUCAAUUUUCCUGAACCCUGCUAAGAUUAAGACAUUAUUGUUGGAUGUUUCUAACGCUCUUCCUAAAUGAGGUUAGCAUGAGGGUCUCAGUAAGAUGGGCUGACCUCCUCAGUGCAGGCAGACACCAUCCCACAUACUGAACAGAACCAAGAGUGAAGUGGAAGGAAUUUACCUCUGUUUUUCUGCCUUGCUUCCUGAGCUGGGACAGCUUGUACCUGGGCUUUCAAUCAAUAACUAGAUACCUGAGGUUUCAAGCAUUCAGGUCUUGACUGAAUUAAUUAUGAGCUCCUGCUUUCCUGGGUGUCCAGCUCCUGCAGACAGCCAAGCCUUCAUAAUCCCAGGAGGUAAGUCUUCAUUAAUAAAUAUAUUUUCUUUCUCAUGUAUAUCCAUGUACUUACCAUCCACAUUUUAUUAGCUUAAUAUACACAUCCAUAUGCACAUAGAUGUGUAUAUCUAUAAUAUCUAUGCCUAUCUAUCUAUCUAUCUAUCUAUCUAUCUAUCUAUUUUUGCAGAGACCAUCAACUAAUGCAUGAAUCCUCAGCAACACACAAAAUAAAUUAACUAAGAGAUGAGUUUUCUCUAGUCAUCCUUCCACUUAAUACUUGAGAUCACCUCUGGAGGACAGUGUACAUUAUUGCUGAUUUAAGCAUGAUGAAACUCAGAGAGGGCUCAGGAACAAUCCUAUAGGGCACCAGUAAUACCUGGCAGUGAUGUUAGCGGGUGAUGUUUGUGUGACUCCAGGUCUGUGCUUGUUACCACUUAAGUGUCCUGCCUUGGAGAACAUCCACAAAGUUCCCAUUUUCCAUGUGUCAUCCACACAUUAACAAACAGACAAACACAACACAACACAACAAACCAAAACCCCUCCAUCUUCCACUAGUACUCUUGGAAAAUAAAAGUUACAAUAAAUAAAAAUAGGCCCAUCAAGAUAAUGUUCCUCCCAUCAAAUCAUAUGUGCCGAAGAAGGAACAGGCUUCUUAGAAUCCUGAGCACAUUUCCCACCAGAUGAACCAAGGUUUGCAGCUUCAACCACAGGACUUGACAGCAUCGCUUAAUAAAAAGAUUUAAAUCCACCUACAGCUUUAUACUCAAAACGAGAUUACACCAUCAUGCAAAGGCAAAGCAGUAUGGGAGAUAAUGUAACUGUUCCCUGGUGCCUAUUGAUUCUGUGUGAGCCUUCUGAUCUUCUUACAGUGGUUCAUUAGGACUGGCAUGGUUAACUAGAGCUAUGAUUAAUUAGCACUUCUGACAGAAAUCUGGGAGUCUCUGCAGGAAGAGUAAAUGCUACUCGCUAGCCAUAGCAAAAAUUUAAAACUAUUAGGCUUAUUUUCAUUUAGCUAUUCUAAAAUCUAGCUGAAGACAGAGAGAUGUGUAAUUGUGCGUGGUUUUAGGACAUUUUCACAUAAAUGUGAGUAAUAAUAGUGCCAGCCUCAUGGGGUUAUUGUGAAGACUAACUGACAACAGUGUACUAAGUAAUGACCAAGCAACAGGAGUUACUUGCCUUUUCUCUCUCUCUCUCUCUCUCUCUCUUCCUCUCUCUCUCUCUCUCUCUCUCUCUCUGUCUCUCUCUCUCUCUCUGUGUGUGUGUGUGUGUGUGUAGAAAGAGAGACAGAGAGAGACAGAGACAGAAACAAAGGGAGAUAGAAAGAUAGAACGUGGUGUCUCUUCUUAAAUCUCUACCUUUAUUUACUUCCAACAGUUCCUGUCUUCAAAUGUAGCUUGGAGUGCCAACAGAUGAAUUUUAUGGAGUUAUAACUAAAUGCAUAACAUUCUUAGAGAUUGUGUGCCACUUCCCUCAUCGUGGUUUUAUUACAUAUGCACUCAUCCAGCACACAGCUUGAUUUUGCAUGGAUCUGAUACAUGGGGAAUAUUUUCAAAGUCAAGCCCACACUUAAGUUUUUUGAGGUAAUGUUCUAAACAAGAGAAGCUUGUGUCUUAGGUAAGGUCACUGUCCGAGUGAGACACUGACUUCAUGUCCCAUGGCACAGUGACGGUACAUAUUUGGAUGGGAGCAGGACGUUUCUUUCAGAGAUUACUGGAAGUUGAAGUGGUUUAAAUCCUGAAAAUACUGGCUUGCUGGGAUGGAUAUUUUGAGUCAUCUUGCAUGAUUAAGGCUUUUGUGAAAAAACGAACACUCCUUUCUUUUCUGUUCGCCAUUUUCCUCCUAAUUAAAACGUAUCCAGGACUGUGAGUGCCCAUUACGGCUGAAUUGGAAAUCUAAAGUCAAUGCUCAGCUGAAUGUAACUUGCUUUCCUCUCCCGUUUUGCACACUGUCAUCUACUUUCUGCCUCUUUGCAUUCCAAGCAUCUGACAGGUGGUGGGAGUCCCUAUCUUGGGGGAAUUAAGCAUCUAUUCUAAAGUUGAAUUCCUACAUUAUUCAUUUGGUUCUGACACUUGGGGGUCAUUUUGCUGACCACCAAAAUCUGACGACACAGAACAACUCUAAUGGAGGAGCCAGGCUUUGCCUUCUCAGAAGAAACAGUUUGGAAAAAGGUCCCAAUCUUAGAAGAGUUUUUUCCCCGAAAGCUUAGAAAUAACAGGGUGUCUGAGAGUUUGGGGGUGGUUGGGGUGGAGCAGAAUCUGUACUGUGGGACAGAGCCACCUGCAUCUCCCUAAAGAAUACUUUGGAAAGCUUUCCCCCACUUCUUCUUUUGGCAGGACAUUAGUCAUUAUAAUAAAGGUCUGGUAUUUACCAGACCUGUUUAGACAAAUAAUCUGGAAGCGACAGGAGGAAAUCUGCAAUAACUUACAAUCAGCUCUUAAUUUGGAACUGUUUAGAUUUUUCACAGUACGCCUGAAAUGAGUAAUGUUUAUACAAAGUUCAAGACUUCCACAAGCAACUCUGCCCUCCUGAGUGUGACAGCUUGCUCCUGGCAUUGAGAAACACAGGCCUGAUGUUCCACAUCGUGUUAGAGGCUCUUUGGAUGACAGGAAAGAUCCAUCUAUAAGGACUUUUGGAAGAAGAGUCUUGCUA